rnacentral:lncRNA from 1 species
UGCCUUCUGGCUUGUUUCUGACUUAUGGUUGACCUAACCCAAGCCCAUUUGUGCUGCCUAAAGCUGGCUGCCUAGCUGUAAUAAUUGCUUUCGCUAUGAACAACUCAUCCACGAGCCAUUGCCUCGGAAAAUUGCUAUUUCCUAGAUUGAUGUUUUCUUGCAGUAGUUUACAUUUGUCAACCGCUCGUCUCUCUACUUUAACUGUGGUAGGAUUGGUCACAUGGUCAAUGCUUGCCCUCAUCUUGUCCAUAGAGGCAAGAAGGUUAUUGGGGCAAAAAAAAAAAUGAUCAUUAUUGAUCCCAUGUUGGAUGUGCUGGGUGAUGCAAGAUCACCUGGGGAUAGCCUGCUUAUACGUUGGUGGAUCUAACGGGUUUGGAAGAUUAAAGGUUUUGCUUCCUUUUGGUGCUUGCUAUCCUAUUGCAGAAAAUAGGGUAGAAGUGAGCAAUUUUGUGGGUUAAAGGAAAGAAGGAAGUUUUCUAGGCUUGCUGUAGGAUACAGGGAAUAAAUUUUGGUGUUAGGAAAGCUUUCUUGGAUUAGAGGUCUUAUCUCUUAUCUGUAGAAGUGGCUGUGAUGAAGUAGGAUUCAAAAAUCUGAAGUAUUGGAACUCCACAUUGCACAUCUUAUAUUGGCCAAUGACCUGCAUGUAUUUUUCAUAGGGAUC